CGACAGAGCAGUCUCGCGACUAUUGUAAAAGGGACAUUUCAAUCCUAUGUGAAACAUCCUCUUUGAGGGUAUAUAACCACCCUUAUACCCCCACUUCUUUGGAGUGCUCUGUUCCUUUGUGGAAAGACUCUCCCGGGUUAUAAUCCUCAGAUUUAAGCUCAGAAUAAACUCACCCAAAUUUUCAUUUAUAGAUUGGAUAUCGAUUAUUUUCGUCGACAGUUCUUGGCGUAGUCGCGGCAGGAUUUCAGAGAAACCCACCAGAGGCCACCUGGAAUCUACACUGAACCGGCAUUCGGUACCAAUAAGGGCCCAUUGAGCCCCCCGGAUCACUGCAUUCUUCAGGUGACCUUGUCGAGGUUAAGUUCAGGCUGGACCUGACCAGAACCUGGACCUCCUGUAAAUCGAAAACUUGGGUUUGUCUGUGCCUUUGUGAUGCAGUUGGACAGGUAGAUCAACCUGGAAUGUAAUUUGAGUUAAAACCCAGUUUCUGAGAAAUCAAGAGUUUUGGCAUAAAGACACAUUUGUUAUCUUACCAAAACUUUGACUGGAAUGUCAUGUUUGAGAGAAAGAUACAGACUCAGAUAUGACAAUACUGCCUUUGAGGAAUAAGGUUGACUUUCUGGAAAUAAAGCCACUUGGAAAUAUGGGCCUGGUACCUUGCUUUACAGAGAGAGAUUCCAGCAAUCUUACCUGAGAAGUCCCAGAACUAAAGGAUCAUGGACUGUAACCUGAAGAAUUUAUUUAUGGAAAGAGACAUCAAAUAAGACUCUUUGCAGCCCUGUUGAAAAGGACAAUACCAGGAGGAGAAGAAGACGACAUCUGUUGUAGACAGCUGUCCCAGACUCCGGACCAGGCCUGUAUUCC
rnacentral:lncRNA from 1 species